AAAGCCGCUGCCGGAGCCCCCCAGCCCCGCAGGGCCCGGAUUGGCGGGGCGGGCAGCACUGCGGGGGGAGCCGCGCAGCGGGGGGAGCAGAAUUAAACAACAACCAAAAAAAAAAAAAAAAAAAAAAAAAAAAAAGAAAAAGGAAAAAGAAAAGCAAACAGCGGAGGGGAAAGUGCAAUCCAGCCGCAAGCAUCGGAAAAAACAGCCCCGGGGAUGCCCCGGACACGGCCCCGCCGGCUCCUCCCGCCUGCGGGGCUGGGGGGGCUCAGAGGGGUCCCGGGUGCAGCGCGGAAGGACCAGGUGGGAAGGGCUGGAAACCGCAAACCUCUUGAGGAAAAAACUUGUGUCUCCACUGAAGCAGGAUUCCUGAGCAUCCUUAACAAGUGGGGGACAGUCCUGAGAUACAGAUUGGCUCAACAGUGACAGCCCAGGAUGGCCCAGGCUCUACCAGGAAGAUCGUCAAUUUAUUGCUCCAACAGCCACCCCGGCACUGCAUGUUGGCUGUGUGUUAUUGACUAUGGACAUUAUGGGCUGCUCCCCAUCUGUUUACCAACAAAUACUGCUCCUAAAGGUAUGGCGUUGUGCUUAUCGCUACACGUUGACCCAGCGUGAAAAAUCUGCCAAUUUAUAUUUUCAUGACAUCAGGAGCUAGAAAUGCAGUUCUUGCCAGCUUCAAACACUCUCAAAUGUUUCAUCUAGUAUGCUGGGGGAAAAAAUUUAAGGAACUGCUCUUCUGCAAAUUACUGAAGUUGGUGGAGGGGGGAGCUAUUUUGAGGAUUUCAAAUGCAUUCUUCUCUUCCUUUUUUUUUUUUUUUUUCCCAAUAGUUGUCCAAAUGGUUAUUGAAACAGCUUGUUCAUGAAAAUCCUGAAUUGGUAAAUGAAAAUUGUUAUUUUCAGAUCAUAUUGUUAUUACCUAAAGGAAAAAAAGAGAAUAAAUUACAAGCAAAAAAAUCAACAACUUUUCAUGAAAAAUCUGCUAAAGAUCAGAGAGAGGGCAGCAAACAUUUUCCAUUGGGUGCAAUGCCAACUGGUUCCUGGUUAGUGUGUAUUAAAUUAAAUAUUCAAUUUGGUCAUGCACUGCUUUUAUUGGUGGAUAAAAAAUCGACAAAUAAGUCUAAUGCAGAGAGAUGCUUCAUGCUGCAGCCUGGCAAAUCCCAUUGCAGCUCUUGAGCAGUGCUUUGGGUGGGGAAACCUGUUCCUCUUGCCACUGCAACCCUGCAAGGCUGAUGCCUGGGAUGCAUGGCUAUUGCAUGGGGAGUCCUUUCACCUUGUGACCCACUGAUGUCCAUCAUGGCUGGGCCAGCAGUAGGUGACCAGCACCUCUGUCAUGAUGCUGAGGGCAGGAAGCAGGAGAGGGACUGUUAGGCAGUGAUCCUCUCCCAGACACUGAGGCUUUGCCACUGAGGGACCUUCAGAACAGGGAGUGGGACCACUGAAUUUAACUUCUUCCAAUUUCUCUGCUGAACUUAUCCAGUUGCUUUUUGCCUGUAAUUUUUUCUGUGCUCCCACAGCAAGGAGGCCACAGCUCAACUGUGACAGGAGAGCUCUCUCUUUCACUGGAGUGGAGCUUGCUGCUAUCUGUUGGCUCCAUGUUCUUGUACAGGGAAGAGCCAAGCAUCCACCUUGAUUUGGCAGAAUUCUUUCCUCUUCCCUGCUCAGCCCACUCCUUCCAAAGGUGUUGUUCAAUGGGAACCACCCCAAGCAGGAGGGUUUCAGCCUAGAAGCAGCAGCCUCCUUCCCCAGGCUCCUCCCUGCUGGGCUGGAAGGAGGCCAGUCCCUCCAGAGCUCCAGCAGCACGAGGGGCAAGCCGGGAGAUGAGUGGAGGAUCACUCCUAUCCCCAGCACCCCACAUCUUCAGCCCAGCAGGAGCUCCAGGCAGGAAUGAGAUAUGUUGGCAUAAUAUCAGAGAGAAGGGUCUUGUCUGGGGCUCUGCUUUGCCUCUCGAAUGCUGCCCCUGGAGAUUUGGUAUCUGCUUGAGACUUCUGGUCCAUCAAUUAUUUAAUUCCCUCCAGCCAUGUGGUCUCCAGCCCCGAGUGCUCGUCUCCUCUGAGCGCACAGGCCUGCCUAUGGGGGGAAAGGGAUUGGGCAGGGGGAUGCAGAGCAGGGGCUGGGCAGAUGAUUCCCACUGGGAAGCAAAGCAGAGGCACUGGAGACAGGUCCCACUAGCCGAAGUCUUGAGCAGAGCACUUGGGCCAGCACCUUCUUUCCCAGCCACCCAUUGGUUGGAGGGAUGGGUUCUUCUUCUGAUCCCUGGGGAUGACCCUGAGGAAAGCACCUCCCUGCUCCAUGCUUCACUUUACCCACCUAUAAAAUAGGGCCGAGAUUUCACAAGUGGUGUGAGCUCCAGUGGCAUCCAAAACGUGCGUGCAAGGCAGUGUUUUGCAAUAAGCAAGGGUGUCACUGUCACCCUUGCUCACAGGAGCUACACCUCCAAUGUGCCUUUAGUGGAUCACAUAAGGCUGGUGGUCCCUGUUUGCUGCUACUGCCCGUGCUGUCUCAAGCUAAAGCAGCAUGGCACAGCACAGCAGGCGCAGCUGGGUAGGCAGGACAAGCUGCGACAUGCGGGCAGGCUGGCGGCUGGAGCUGGGUAGGUGUGUCCCUGUUACCCAAUAAAUAACUCAAGCCCUAAAGCGGCCCAUUGUAAUUACAGGGGCCCCGCGCAGAUUGAAAACGAAGAAGAAGGAGGGGAAAAAAGGAAAUCAAGGUUCAGUUCUUCCCCAGGAGGUAGCGCUCCAUGGGGAAAGCAAUAGAAGGGAGCAGUGAUUUAUAUCUCUCCAGAGGAAUUCUCCUUUGCAGGGCCGCCCAAGGCGCCGCCAGGUUCAGCUGAGUUUCUAAUCUGAAUAUGCAUGAGCCAGUAAUUAAUUCUCUCUGAUACUGAUCCAGAUUUGGGGUUGGUUUUGUGAGUGUGUGCGUGCGCGUUUGGUGUCCGUCUUCUCCCAGGUGUGCUAACACACCAAGGAGGGAUGAGACGAAGGAGUGCUGCCUCUCCACAGCUGUCCUUGCAGGAUGGUAGCCACUGACACUUCAGGGCCAGCUUGGGGCAGACAGGUGACCCUGGCUGGGUGGAGACUUCUGUGGGGUGACUCUGGUUGGUGUCCUACUGGGGACAGCAUGAGGAAGGGGGACAGAGAGUAGGGCACAAUCAGGGUCACCUACCUGGGGCUGGCUACACCAUGGGGCAAUCCCUGCCCAAACACAUACCCAGCCUUGGGCAUGUGCAGGAGGUGUUUUCCCUCCUCCAGCAGACAUUACAAAGAUACUGUGCUUGCAAAGUGCUGAGAAGAGGGAGGGAGGGAAGAGAGUCUUGACUCACCUCCUCCCUCCCACCUCCCUCUCUCCUUUUAAAUCUCCUCCAUGCAUUAUUUGAGCAGUGGGAUGGGAGCCCUGAGGAGUGAAACCUUGUCUCUGGCCGAAGGCCCAGGCCUGGGGCAGGAUGUGGGUGUGUAAACCCCAUGCCAUAGGCCCUUCCUCUGGGUCUGAUCCACAGCUCAUAGUCACAACCAGCCUUCAAACCAGGGGAAGACCAGUAAACAUUAAUGAAAAAGAAACUACUGUUUUCCAGCUUCACAGAGCCCACACCGUGGAACACAGGUCUCUUCCCCUGGCCCCAGGAGCAUGUUGCCCCAAUGGCUUGCUCACCCUUCCCUUGAGAGAAAGGCAAUAAUUAGCUUUCCUGCCUUUAAACCUUGCCAUGAGGGUCUGGCCAUCUCUCAGGAAUGAGUUGAGGUGGUUCCAACACACAGGCAAGGAGAGAUGGGGAUGAGAGUACUGGUGCCUGGGUCAUGACAUCAGCAGUGCUGGCCCUUGGCAGCCAGGAGGUGCUGGAUCCAUUCCUGAUGUUGUGGGCUCCCUGAACAGCCAGCACCCCAAUCUGGAGGCUUUCCUGGUCCCCCCAUCACGUCCUCAUCUGCCUGUAGCCAGGUGCAGGAUUAGCAGCAGUGCUGAGGUGUAUUGCCCCACUCCACCUGGCCCUGGCUCCUGACAGCACCCACGUGCAGCAGAAAAGGGACUGCCUUGGCCCCACAUCUCAGCCCAAUAGGGCAGUGGCUUCCCAGAGCCACAGAGAAGCCAGUGAGCAUCAAGGGACCACGGUGUCAUUGCCUGCUGGGGUCACUGGAUCUGGAGAAGUCACACUCCCUUUCCCACACCCUCCAGUAACAGGGGAUGACUCCUCCAGAACACUGUCCUCACUCUGGGGCUCUAUGCAGAGGUCCAAGGACUGUGCCAUGUCCUGCCUACCAGAUCCAGCUCCAUCCAGUGGAGUGCAGAGGAGACAGACUCCCUGCAUCCAUCUGAGGGAUCCCUGUGAUGUCUACAGGCUUGGAAGCAGCGGGCUGGGAACAACUGGUGAGUCAGAGCCCUGUGUUGUAACGUGGGGGGCAGAGCGCGUGUUGGAGCAGGGAUGGCCGUGAGCUUCAGUGCGGGGCCCGCCUGGGCCUUUUGCAAUCCUCUGGGGAAAGGCGAAGUCAGUGUCUCCAUCCCUUAAUUAAAGUGUGCCACAGGGCCCUGCUCCUGCCUGUUUACAUGGUUCGUGGGGAUGGACAGAGGAGCAGCAGCCCGGGACAUGGGGAGGAGGGUGGCCUCAUCAGCCCUUCCCUGGGCUGGGGCAGCCGAUGCUCUCGAACAGUCUCUGGCUCCAGCAGCCAGGUUUCAGCCUUGAGCCCACAGUCUCUCAAAGACACGUUUUGGAACCAUGAGCUGAUUCCAGUUCUCUACACACAUCUCCUCCCUCCUGUGAGUGCACAAGAAGCUCGUUCCCACCUCCCCAUCGCCCUU